CGUGUCGUGAGAUGUGGUUAAGUCCGUAACGAGCGCAACCCUUGUCCUUAGUUACCAGCACGUUAUGGUGGGCACUCUAAGGAGACUGCCGGUGACAACCGGAGGAAGGUGGGGAUGACGUCAAGUCAUCAUGGCCCUUACGGCCUGGGCUACACACGUGCUACAAUGGUCGGUACAAAGGGUUGCCAAGCCGCGAGGUGGAGCUAAUCCCAUAAAACCGAUCGUAGUCCGGAUCGCAGUCUGCAACUCGACUGCGUGAAGUCGGAAUCGCUAGUAAUCGUGAAUCAGAAUGUCACGGUGAAUACGUUCCCGGGCCUU
rnacentral:rRNA from 1 species